AAAUUGAAGAGUUUGAUCAUGGCUCAGAUUGAACGCUGGCGGCAGGCCUAACACAUGCAAGUCGAACGGUAACAGGAAACAGCUUGCUGUUUCGCUGACGAGUGGCGGACGGGUGAGUAAUGUCUGGGAAACUGCCCGAUGGAGGGGGAUAACUACUGGAAACGGUAGCUAAUACCGCAUAACGUCGCAAGACCAAAGAGGGGGACCUUCGGGCCUCUUGCUAUCGGAUGUGCCCAGAUGGGAUUAGCUAGUAGGUGGGG
rnacentral:rRNA from 1 species